AACUGAAGCAGGUCUGCUCAUGGGUCACUUCUGCAUGCAUGGAAGCCUUCCAGCUAUAAAAGCAAAAUUUCUGACCCCCAUGCAACACUCCUGCCUCCCAAAGACUUUGGGGCUGGUUGAACUGGGUUUCCAAACUUUAUUUGCUCAGGUACAUGCAGUGGCAACAGCUGCAGCUUCAGGCUGUGUGAUCAGUAAAGGCAGGAGGGCUGGGCUUUCCCUUCUGUCUGCAGUUGGAUACACCCACCCACAGCAGCUCCCAGCUCUGUCCCCACCACAGGUAACCUAGUCCACUCUGACAUGUUUUCUGUGGUGAUGCAUGCUUCCAGUACAAAAACAAUAUAACACACCUCAUGUCUAAGAAAAUUGUAAGGAAGUGGGGACUGAGUCCCCAUGGUCUUUUAAUGCAUUUACUUGUAAGUAGAAUGAGGAUUCGUUUUAUAGGGGUAGAGAGGUAAGGAACAACUGGUGCUCUGGGACCACAGAGGAGAAAACACAAAUUUUUCUGUAUUGGGAUACCAUAUAGCUGCAGAUUGAUGAGAUCACCCUGAAAUCAAGGUGCUUUUCACAUAAGCUGGUUAGGAUUCAGCUCUACCAUCAUCUUGGAUUCCCUAAUUCACAUUCAAGAAAAUGCUCUCUAAGACAUAAACUUGGUUAGCAAAGUAAAGGUUACAGUCUAAUCAGCUGCUGUUAGCGCUGUUAAUCUUCGAGACAAGAACAGCCUCAUGUCUGCACUCAGCUGAUCACUAAAAGUGUUCCCAGAGUCUGUACACUAUGUCAUCAUGAUUGUUAUUGUUGUUAGCAGCAGCAGCACAUUACCUAGUAACCAGGACCCAGUCCCACCAUGAUCUGUAAUUUUCAGGCUUACCCUUGGGGCUGAAAGGAUUCUACCUGCACCUGCUGAUCCUUUUUCAUUUGCUCACAAGCUCUCAGGUUUGAGAGUGGGAGAGCACCCAGGGUCUAGAGCUGAGUGAAGUGCAGCUGGAAUGUGUUGGCAUGUGCUGAAGGAUAAAGGAGGGAUGACAAACCACCAGGCCAGUCUUAGCAAACUAUGGUUUAGUCAUCUCCCCUCUUUCCCUGGUGAUGUGGAUGAAAACUGGACGUGCAAAAGUUUACCUGCCCAGAAAAAGUCCUGCACAAACCAGC